rnacentral:misc_RNA from 1 species
GAUGAAGAACGUAGCGAAAUGCGAUAAGUAAUGUGAAUUGCAGAAUUCAGUGAAUCAUCGAAUCUUUGAACGCACAUUGCGCCCGCCAGUAUUCUGGCGGGCAUGCCUGUUCGAGCGUCAUUACAACCCUCAGGCCCCCGGGCCUGGCGUUGGGGAUCGGCGGAAGCCCCCUGCGGGCACAACGCCGUCCCCCAAAUACAGUGGCGGUCCCGCCGCAGCUUCCAUUGCGUAGUAGCUAACACCUCGCAACUGGAGAGCGGCGCGGCCACGCCGUAAAACACCCAACUUCUGAAUGUUGACCUCGAAUCAGGUAGGAAUACCCGUUGAACUUAAGCAUAUCAAUAAGCGGAGGA